rnacentral:rRNA from 1 species
AUUGAACGCUGGCGGCAGGCCUAACACAUGCAAGUCGAGCGGAGCGGCGGACGGGUGAGUAAUGCCUAGGAAUCUGCUUGGUAGUGGGGGAUAACGUCCGGACACGGGCGCUAAUACCGCAUACUAUCAGAUGAGCCUAGGUCGGAUUCGCUAGUUGGUGGGGUAAAGGCCUACCAAGGCUACGAUCCGUAACUGGUCUGACAGGAUGAUCAGUCACACUGGAACUGAUGCACGGUCCAGACUCCUACGGAGGGCCACAGGGGGGAAGUGUGGACAAUGGGCGAAAGCCUGAUCCAGCCCUGCCGCGUGUGUGAAGAAGGGCUUCUGAUUGUAAAGCACUGUGAGUUAGGAGGCGUUACCAACAGAGUAAGCUCCGGCUGACUUCGUGCCAGCAGCCGCGGUAAUAC